rnacentral:pre_miRNA from 1 species
GAUCUACUCCCUUCGUUCGGAAUUACUUGUCUUGAAUAUGGAUGUAUCUAGAAUUAAAAUACAUCCAGAUACAUCCAUUUCUACGACAAGUAAUUUCGAACGAAGGGAGUAGCAU